AUGGUUAGGAGUGUACCAAUUGGCGAGAAGCUCUUCAUAGGAGGAGACCUCAAUGGCCACGUGGGUUCAUCUAACACAGGUUUUGAAGGGGCGCAUGGGGGUUUUGGCUAUGGCAUCAGGAAUCAAGAAGGAGAUGUCUUAAGCUUUGCUCUAGCCUACGACAUGAUUGUAGCUAACACCCUCUUUAGAAAGAGAGAAUCACAUCUGGUGACUUUUAGUAGUGGCCAACACUCUAGCCAGAUCGAUUUCAUCCUCUCGAGAAGAGAAGAUAGGCGUGCGUGCCUAGACUGUAAGGUGAUACCUGGAGAGUGUUCUGGUGGUUACUGA
rnacentral:rRNA from 1 species